rnacentral:rRNA from 1 species
AGAGUUUGAUCCUGGCUCAGAACGAACGCUGGCGGCGUGCCUAACACAUGCAAGUCGAACGGGAAAACCCGCAAGGGUGAGUACAGUGGCGCACGGGUGCGUAACACGUGGGUAAUCUGCCCUGAAGCCCGGAAUAACUCCCCGAAAGGGGUGCUAAUGCCGGAUGAGACCACGGGGACUUCGGUCCCUGGGGGAAAAGGUGGCCUCUGUAUACAAGCUAUCACUUCAGGAUGAGCCCGCGGCCCAUCAGCUAGUUGGCGGGGUAAUGGCCCACCAAGGCUACGACGGGUAGCUGGUCUGAGAGGACGAUCAGCCACACUGGAACUGAGACACGGUCCAGACUCCUACGGGAGGCAGCAGUGGGGAAUCUUGCGCAAUGGGCGAAAGCCUGACGCAGCAACGCCGCGUGUGUGAUGAAGGUCUUCGGAUCGUAAAGCACUGUCGGGAGGGACGAAUAAGGGCCGGGUGAACAAUCCGGUCUGACGACGGUACCUCCAGAGGAAGCACCGGCUAACUCUGUGCCAGCAGCCGCGGUAAUACAGAGGGUGCUAGCGUUGUUCGGAAUUAUUGGGCGUAAAGCGCGUGUAGGCGGCCGGCCAAGUCGGAUGUGAAAGCCCUCGGCUCAACCGAGGAAGUGCGUUCGAUACUAGCUGGCUCGAGUACCGGAGAGGGUGGUGGAAUUCCCGGUGUAGAGGUGAAAUUCGUAGAUAUCGGGAGGAACACCAGUGGCGAAGGCGACCACCUGGACGGAUACUGACGCUGAGACGCGAAAGCGUGGGGAGCAAACAGGAUUAGAUACCCUGGUAGUCCACGCUGUAAACGAUGAGCGCUAGGUGUUGCGGGUGUUGACCCCUGCAGUGCCGAAGCUAACGCAUUAAGCGCUCCGCCUGGGAAGUACGGCCGCAAGGCUAAAACUCAAAGGAAUUGACGGGGCCCGCACAAGCGGUGGAGCAUGGUGGUUUAAUUCGACGCAACGCGCAGAACCUUACCUGGUCUUGACAUCCUAGGAAUCCGCAGAGAUGGUGGGAGUGCCCGCAAGGGAGCUAGAAGAACAGGUGCUGCAUGGCUGUCGUCAGCUCGUGUCGUGGAGAAUGUGGGUAAGUCCCGCAACGAGCGCCACCUCAUCGUAGUUGCAUCAUUCAGUGGCACUCUAGCGAGACUGCGGGUCAGCCGAGAGGUGGGGAUGACGUCAAGUCUCAUGCUUAGACAGUCACACGUUUAAAUGCCGUACAACGGUUGCAAAUUCAGGGC